CACCCUGUGGCCUAGCGGUUAGCGCUGCCGUUUUAGAAAUUUUCAUCACGGGUUCGACCCCCACUGGGGUCA